rnacentral:rRNA from 1 species
CCUACGGGAGGCAGCAGUGGGGGAUAUUGCACAAUGGGGGAAACCCUGAUGCAGCGACGCCGCGUGGGUGAAGAAGCGCCUCGGCGCGUAAACCUCUGUCUUUGGGGAAGAAAAUGACGGUACCCAAAGAGGAAGCUCCGGCUAACUACGUGCCAGCAGCCGCGGUAAUACGUAGGGAGCGAGCGUUGUCCGGAAUUACUGGGUGUAAAGGGAGAGUAGGCGGGCGAGAAAGUUGAAUGUUAAAUCUACCGGCUUAACUGGUAGCUGCGUUCAAAACUUCUUGUCUUGAGUGAAGUAGAGGCAGGCGGAAUUCCUAGUGUAGCGGUGAAAUGCGUAGAUAUUAGGAGGAACACCAGUGGCGAAGGCGGCCUGCUGGGCUUUAACUGACGCUGAGGCUCGAAAGCGUGGGGAGCAAACAGGAUUAGAUACCCCAGUAGUC